rnacentral:rRNA from 1 species
GACGAACGCUGGCGGCGUGCUUAACACAUGCAAGUCGAACGGUGAAGCGCCUUCCUUUUUGGUGGGUGUGGAUGAGUGGCGAACGGGUGAGUAACACGUGAGUAACCUGCCCCCUUCUUCUGGAUAACCGCAUGAAAGUGUGGCUAAUACGGGAUAUUCUGGGUCUGUCGCAUGAUGGGUCUGGGAAAGAUAUUGUUUCGGUGGGGGAUGGGCUCGCGGCCUAUCAGCUUGUUGGUGGGGUGAUGGCCUACCAAGGCGGUGACGGGUAGCCGGCCUGAGAGGGUGGACGGUCACACUGGGACUGAGACACGGCCCAGACUCCUACGGGAGGCAGCAGUGGGGAAUAUUGCACAAUGGGCGCAAGCCUGAUGCAGCGACGCCGCGGGAGGGAUGGAGGCCUUCGGGUUGUGAACCUCUUUCGCCAGUGAAGCAGGCCUGCCUCGUUUGUGGGUGGGUUGACGGUAGCUGGAUAAGAAGCGCCGGCUAACUACGUG